rnacentral:rRNA from 2 species
AGGUGGCGAGCGUUGUCCGGAAUUACUGGGUGUAAAGGGAGUGUAGGCGGGAAGGCAAGUUAGAAGUGAAAAUUAUGGGCUCAACCCAUAACCUGCUUUUGAAACUGUUUUUCUUGAGUGAAGCAGAGGCAAGCGGAAUUCCUAGUGUAGCGGUGAAAUGCGUAGAUAUUAGGAGGAACACCAGUGGCGAAGGCGGCUUGCUGGGCUUUUACUGACGCUGAGGCUCGAAAGCGUGGGGAGCAAACAGGAUUAGAUACCCUGGUAGUCCACGCCGUAAACGAUGAUUACUAGGUGUGGGGGGAUGAACCCUUCCGCGCCGGAGUUAACACAAUAAGUAAUCCACCUGGGGAGUACGACCGCAAGGUUG